rnacentral:rRNA from 1 species
UGAUGCGGCGUGCUCACUAUGACAGUCGAGCGGUAAGGCCCUUCGGGGUACACGAGCGGCGAACGGGUGAGUAACACGUGAGCAACCUGCCCCCGACACCGGGAUAAGCCGUGGAAACGCGGUCUAAUACCGGAUACGACACGCCCCCGCAUGGGGUGCGUGUGGAAAGGUCUUUUCUGGUCGGGGAUGGGCUCGCGGCCUAUCAGCUCGUUGGUGGGGUAACGGCCUACCAAGGCGAUUACGGGUAGCCGGCCUGAGAGGGCGACCGGCCACACUGGGACUGAGACACGGCCCAGACUCCUGCGGGAGGCAGCAGUGGGGAAUCUUGCGCAAUGGGCGAAAGCCUGACGCAGCGACGCCGCGUGGGGGAUGACGGCCUUCGGGUUGUAAACCUCUUUUACCACUCACGCAGGCCCCGGGUUCUCCCGGGGUUGACGGUAGGUGGGGAAUAAGGACCGGCUAACUACGUGCCAGCAGCCGCGGUAAUACGUAGGGUCCGAGCGUUGUCCGGAAUUAUUGGGCGUAAAGAGCUCGUAGGCGGCGUGUCGCGUCUGCUGUGAAAGACCGGGGCUUAACCCCGGUUCUGCAGUGGAUACGGGCAUGCUAGAGGUAGGUAGGGGAGACUGGAAUUCCUGGUGUAGCGGUGAAAUGCGCAGAUAUCAGGAGGAACACCGGUGGCGAAGGCGGGUCUCUGGGCCUUACCUGACGCUGAGGAGCGAAAGCGUGGGGAGCGAACAGGAUUAGAUACCCUGGUAGUCCACGCCGUAAACGUUGGGCGCUAGGUGUGGGGGCUUUCCACGGUUCCCGUGCCGCAGCUAACGCAUUAAGCGCCCCGCCUGGGGAGUACGGCCGCAAGGCUAAAACUCAAAGGAAUUGACGGGGGCCCGCACAAGCGGCGGAGCAUGUUGCUUAAUUCGACGCAACGCGAAGAACCUUACCAAGGUUUGACAUCACCGGUAAUCCAUCGGAAGACGGUGGGUCCUUCGGGGGAUCGGGUGAC